AGUAACCUAGCAGCUAGAGUAGAAGUUAGAUGGACUAUACUGGAGAAGAAUUUGAAGUGUUCAGUGCAUCUUGCUGCAUCUAGCACAGUGAGGUACUGAUGCCUAGUAUCCACAUUUCUAACAGCCCCCAAGGUUUGCAGCUACUAGGCUUCCUGUAACUGCUUAUACUUGGAGAAUCACUCUUUCAAAAUCAGUGACCAGGGUGUCGUUGUGCUGGACUAUGAGAAGUAACUUUCUGGG
rnacentral:lncRNA from 1 species